UUCAUUUUCGCCCCUGCAGCUGAGGUCUGGAGUGGUGAUGUCUGCUGCAAACUCCCUGCUCUCACCCACGCCAGACAUGAGACACUGGGUCUGGGGGCGCUGUUAUGGAAGGAAUCAUGUCCCCUAAAUUCAGGUGUUCAAGCCCUAACCCCAGGACCUCAGCGUGAGAUUGUAUUUGGAGACAAGGCCUCUGAAGAGGUGAUCAAGGUAAAAGGACGUUACUAAGCAACAGCUGCUCUGAGCUUCAAAGGCAAGCCACCAGAGCAGGAAGCAGAGGCCAUGGCGAGGUGCAUGCCCCCCAGCCCCCCAGCCUGCCCGGCUCCAGAGCGCCUGCUUCUCUUUGAUGGACCAAGUGAUUUCCAGGACGGAGAGGAUUUUCCCAGGAGCAAGUCUGUGGCUCCUACUCCCUCCUUGCGUGGGGGGUGAGGUCUUGGUGUCCCCAGGCUCCCUCUGCCCUGCCCCCUCAGCUGGUGCACAACUUCCCCAUCUGCAGCUGCCCCUGCAGGAAGUGCCUGAUGAUUGCUCCAUUUCCCACAGUGCCAGCACCCCAUUCCUGCCCCCCUGCCCCCUCCCUGCUGGCGGAGGGGGACCCACGAGUGCCUCCGUGGCUCUCUCUCCCUCCCAUUCCCCUGCUGGCAUUUCUCACCGAGCCUGCCCUUUACGCACACCAGGUAGAGCAGGCCCCCGGGGAGGAAGGAAGGCAGGCCAGGGCCAUUUGGCUCAUUCAUUGAGAACCAUAAAAACAUUCAUAUCCUUUAACCUAAUAAUUCCACCCCGGGGAAUUGCUUCCAAAGAAGAAAAAAAAAUACAUGGACUGUUUAUAGCUGUGCUAUUUGCAAUAAAGAGAAAGUGGAAGCAAAUGUCAUGUCUCCAAACAGAAAAAUGAUUAAAUAACUGUGGCAUAUUUAUAUUAUAGGAUAUCAUGCAGACAUUUAAAAUGAAAAUAUGACCAUGUAGAACAAGCACAGUGUCUUGGGAAUAACACUGAGUGGAAAGAGUACAGAGCUGCACAUACACAGAUUAAUUUUGUGGGAAUUAUGUAUGUGGCUAAAAAUAAUAGACACAAAAUUGGAAGUAAUUCCACUUAUAUUAAGUGGAAUUACUUUCCCUCAGUUUUUUUUUUAAAUGAUGAAGGGGAUAAAACUGUGGAUCAGAGGGAGCAAGAAAAAAUAAAAUAGUUGUGUUAAGAUGGUGAAUUUUUACAAUUUUACCUUAAAGUGCUUCAUGUUAGCUUAAUAAGAAAUUAAUACUUUAAAACUAAAGAGAAUACCCUGGACACAAAGUCCUAGAGUUUUCUAAAAAGACUUUUUGUUGGUUGUGGUUUUAGCAUUGCUUUAAAAAAAAUAACAAAAGCAUCCCUCAUUUAGACCUUCUGUGCAUGUGGCUAUAGGUCUGUAAAUGACUGGAUGUGGGUCCCACAGCCUGACUGCCCCCAAGAGCACUUGGAAGACCCCUGCCUACUGGGUAAAUAAUCCUGUCUGCUCUCGCCCUGCCCGACAUUCUCUGCACCUGGGCCACCACAGUCCCCGCCCAGGUAACAGCUCAGAGGUGACCUCCAUGCCUGGAGCUCAGAACCCUUAGGGUAGAAGGUGGGACCCCACCAUGGGGAGUCCUGGGAGGUCAGAUGGCAGGUGAAAAACCCUAACGCUAAAGCCUGGGGUGGAGUCUUUUUCUUUCGCCCCUCC